rnacentral:pre_miRNA from 14 species
UCUCCGAAGACAAGGGUGGUUGCCAAUCCCGUACAAGCCCCCAAAUGAAAGACCCCUGGAGCAGGGAGACCCUCACUCAAGUGUCAGGAUGACACAACACCCCAAGAACUCACGUGAGACU